GCGAGAGAGGAGAGGAUCUUUGUUUGAUCUUUUCGCCAUCCUAGCUUUAAUUAUGCUAAGGAGUGGUUUGUAACCGGACAUGGUGAAGUAAUCAGAAGAUCUAUUUCAUGCCAUCUUGUUCCAUUCCAUUUGGAUUUACAAUUUCCGUUUGUGUUCUUUGCGUUCUUGUUUUCUUCCUUUUCUUCCCUCUCACGUUUUUGGUCGAUUCGUGUUUUGUGGGGAGUUUUGAGUCAAUCCGGUUGUUUG
rnacentral:lncRNA from 1 species